UACGUAGGCAGCAAGCGUUGUUCGGAUUUACUGGGCGUAAAGGGUGUGUAGGCGGUUUUCUAAGUUUGGUGUGAAAUCUCCCGGCUCAACUGGGAGGGUGCGCCGAAAACUGGAAAGCUAGAGUACUGGAUGGGAGAGUGGAAUUCCUGGUGUAGCGGUGAAAUGCGUAGAUAUCAGGAGGAACACCUGUGGUGUAGACGGCUCUCUGGACAGUCACUGACGCUGAGACACGAAAGCGUGGGUAGCAAACAGG
rnacentral:rRNA from 1 species